CCUACGGGAGGCAGCAGUGGGGGAUAUUGGACAAUGGGGGGAACCCUGAUCCAGCGACGCCGCGUGAGUGAAGAAGUAUUUCGGUAUGUAAAGCUCUGUCAGCAGGGAAGAAAGAAAUGACGUUACCUGACCAAGAAGCCCGGGCUAACUACGUGCCAGCAGCCGCGGUAAUACGGAAGGCCCGAGCGUUAUCGGGAUUCAUUGGGCUUAAAGGGGGCGUAGGCGGGCGUUCAAGUCAGCUGGAAAAUCUCGGGGCUAAACCGCGCACCGCAGUUGAAACUGGACGCCUUGAGUUCACAACAGGCAGGCGGAAUUCGUGGUGUAGCGGUGAAAUGCAUAGAUAUCACGAGGAACCCCGAUUGCGAAGGCAGCCUGCCGGGGUGCGACUGACGCUGAGGCUCGAAGGUGCGGGUAUCAAACAGGAUUAGAUACCCGUGUAGUC
rnacentral:rRNA from 1 species